rnacentral:rRNA from 1 species
CCCUUAGAUGUCCUGGGCAGCACGCGUGCUACAAUGAUGCAUUCAACGAGCCUUGCCUUAACCGAAAGGUUCGGGUAAACUUUUGAAAUUGCAUCUUGUCGGGGCUUGAUCAUUGUAAUUUUUGAUCACAAACAAGGAAUUCCUUGUAAAUGUGAGUCAUCAACUUGCAUUGAAUACGUCCCUGCCCUUUGUACACACCGCCCGUCGCUUCUACCGAUGAAUGAUCCGGUGAACACUCUGGACUUGUUGUCUGUCGGAGCAAUCCAAAGACGAUAGGGAAGUUGUGUAAACCUUAUCAUUUAGAGGAAGAAGAAGUCGUAACA